GUCUGAUGAGCUUUGUUAUGUUUGGUUAUGUUGUUGACAACUUUUGAUAGGAUAAGGAUAUUUUAAACACAUUUUAAAAGAAAAAGAACCUUAGUAGUUAGUAGAAAGGAAAGCAAUUUUAGAUUCCAACCGUAUUAUUACUUGUGAAAUAUUAUCAUCUAGUGGGAAAACCGCAGUGAUUGUGCCUUCAAACGGGCAAUUUGAAAGGACAACCCCACCAAAAACCAUUAUAAUUUUAAAUUGAAAUGAUUGAUAUUAAAAAUGUUUGUACCGAUGUAAUUGUACAUGUAAAGCUGGAAAUUCAGGCAUACCAUGGAAAAUUUGAAAAAAUUAAGCACCACAGACAUCAAACAACAGUGGGGAUAAUUU
rnacentral:lncRNA from 1 species